UACGUAGGGGCCAAGCGUUGUCCGGAUUUAUUGGGCGUAAAGAGCUCGUAGGCGGUUGGGUAAGUCGGGUGUGAAAACUCCAGGCUCAACUUGGAGAUGCCACCCGAUACUGCUCUGACUUGAGUUCGGUAGGGGAGUGGGGAAUUCCUGGUGUAGCGGUGAAAUGCGCAGAUAUCAGGAGGAACACCGGUGGCGAAGGCGCCACUCUGGGCCGAAACUGACGCUGAGGCGCGAAAGCUAGGGGAGCAAACGGG
rnacentral:rRNA from 1 species